UAGUUCGUAUAUUUACUUCUUUGAAUUUUGAAUACCUUAAUAAAAUUUCUAGCAUCGCGUAACCAACCUUAAAGCAACCAACUACUUCCUCAUACAUACAAAAGUGUCCAACUUUUAGUAUUCUCAUUAUUUCCAAAUCCAAAUUCCCCACAAAAAAAAAUACACUCUUUAAUUCUUCUUCUUCUUCUUCUUUCAAGAAAACAUCAUGUCAUCUUCAUCUCCUUUAUCUUUCCACAUAAAAAAACCAUCAAAAUCUAGUACUAAUAAUAUUGAUGAUAUAUCUCUAGUGAAAGAAGCAACAUUGGCUAAUUGGUAUGAAGAAUUUGAAGUACGUUCAAGAAAUUAUAUAAAGGCUCAAGAAACAUCAUCAAGAUAUUAUAAGAUGAUGAAGAUGAAUAUGUGUGUUACCAGUUCAUAUGAUGAUGUGGUGAUGGAGAGAAGAGUUUACCACAAUCCACCGUCGCCGGAAAAGUCGCCGGCGCCGGUGGUGAAAUUUGACACUUGCCGGCCAUGGAGAAAGCAUGUCUAGUUGGUUAGUUUGUGUCGGUCAGAAAUGGAUUCAAGAUUUUAAUUUGAUGUAGUUAAAAGUUUUUAUCGCUGAAUUCAUUGUAUGUUUAAGGUUGUGAGUUUGGAGGUGAUAGUUGUUGAAUUUAAUGUAUUUAUGUAUAUAUUAUGUUUCGCAUAAAAAAUGUUGGGUUCGAUGAAAUGUUAGAUUUCACCUCUAAGGUUUGCACAAUGUAAGGAAAACCUACUUUAACAAGAAUUUUUAAUUUAUUUUCCAUGUAUAUAUUA